UCGGGAAUUUUGCCCAAUGGACGAAAGUCUGAGGCAGCAACUCCGCGUGAGGGACGAAGGCUCUAGGGUCGUAAACCUCUUUUCUCAGGGAAGAUCCAAGACGGUACCUGAGGAAUAAGCCACGGCUAACUACGUGCCAGCAGCCGCGGUAAUACGUAGGUGGCAAGCGUUGUCCGGAUUUACUGGGCGUAAAGAGCGCGCAGGCGGCUGGUCGAAGUCCGAUGUGAAAUCUCCCGGCUCAACUGGGAAACUGCAUCGGAAACUGAUCGGCUUGAAGGUGGGAGAGGGUAGUGGAAUUCCCGGUGUAGUGGUGAAAUGCGUAGAUAUCGGGAGGAACACCAGUGGCGAAGGCGACUACCUGGCCCAUUCUUGACGCUGAGGCGCGAAAGCUAGGGGGAGCGAACGGGAUUAGGAUACCCCGGUAGUCCUAGCCGUAAACGAUGAACACUAGGCGUAGUCGGUAUCGACCCCGGCUGUGCCGUAGCUAACGCAUUAAGUGUUCCGCCUGGGGA
rnacentral:rRNA from 1 species